GGGGCUGUAGCUUAGUGAUAGAGCAAACGCUUUACAUGCAGGAAGUACCAGGUUCAAACCUUGGCAUCUCCU
rnacentral:tRNA from 1 species